GUGGCGUCGGAGCUGGGAAGGGGGACGUCGGGAACAGACUCUAUCGGCAUAUAGAGAUAAGCCCGACUGGUGUGAAGGGCUUCGGAAUAUUCUUGCUUGGAAACUAACCCCAAUAAGCAUCACAUUGUCUGAGCUUCGGACUUCUGGUCUUUUGCUGCUUGCUGUCUGCGUGACUAGAACCAGGGAAGUGGGAGGGUUGAGGGAAAGCCCUCUAAUAUCUUGGUGCCGUGACUGGGAUGCAUCACCCUGGACAGUUUACUCAAUGUGGUUGGGAGCUGUGGAAAUGUUAAAAGCUAAAGAGGAGGGGCACCCCAGAGCUCCCCCACCCCCAGUUGCUGCAGCAUCCCAAUGUGGUGAGGGGGAACUCUGUGACCUGAACUCAGACAGACCCCGAAGGACUCCCCAAGGACAGCCCCGCUGAAUGCAGCCAUAUCCGGGUGAGCAGCAGCCAGCUGAGAGAGAUGGGCAGAGCCAGCCUUGAGAGACCCCAACCAGCCCCACUCAGCCCCUGGGGAGAGAUGGUGCUCGCUGUGCAGAUGGCACCUCAUGGACCCGGUCUCCAGAAACUCCCGUGGGGUGACUGACCAAUCCAGUGGAUCUGUGGCUAAGGUAUUGGUCUGGGCUGGGCUGCAGGAGAUGUGGGUUUAAUUCCUGCCUCUGCCACCGACUCCCUGUGUGACCUUGGGUGAGUCACUUAGUCCCUCUGGGCUUCGGUUCCCCUCUGUGCAAUGGGGAUGAUGAUCCGUCUCUUGGCAGCUCUUUGGGGCAGGGAGCGUCUCACCAUGGCCUGUGCAGCGCCUGGCAUGAUGAGGCCCAGAGCGCAGCC